ACUGGAAAAAUUAAAAGAAAAAACUAAGGAGGCUGAAAACCCAUAUCACACACAUCUUUGUCCAAAUCCAUGGCAGUGGACAGACGACUGUGAACUCUGCAGGGCGGGGCCUGGACGUCCGCCUGACACAAAGAGGAAAUGGUGCAUAUUUAAUGAAGUAAGCCGCAUUACUUAUGCAGUGGGCAGCGGAUUGUGGUAACGAUUUCUCAUCACUGCAGAUACUCAGCAGAAUCCCUGGAGGAAUAUAACUAUGGACUUCAAAUGCAUUAGGGCUAAUGUGCAGAAUAAUAAUUGCUGCAGCUCACAGCCUAAUGUUCUAGUGACAGUGAAUCCUUUAAAAGAAUGCCAGCAGGGAACAAUGCCGCCAGAGUGAAAAAGAACACGUUACAAUAAUGUGGACAGGAAACCCCAAAUAGCUCCAAGAGCUGCUAAAGGAAUUACUGGGAUAAGAUAAUUAUAAAAAAAUGAAGAUGGUAAUAAUAGUAAUAAUAGUAAUAAUAAUAAUAAUAAUAAUAAUAAUAAUAAAGGGGUGGGGGGUGUUGCUUACCAGAUAUAAAACCAAAGAACACAGCCUGGCACACUGGCGAAGGCAAUCACCAGUGUUAAUGGAGGCCAGUGAGUUCAACGUACCCCCCAUGGUGUUCAUUUCACAUAGCUACUGUACAACACAGGAUCUGAUAUAAAAACUUAUUCUCUGCUGACCGAGUCUGAAUUACCUCGGUUACACCCAGGAAGCUUUAUGAGCUCCUAAUGAAGUAUUAUCCUGUUGAUUAAGGGGACCCACUGCCAGGCCGCAGGCAGCUGCACAGGCCCCGUAGCAAGGAGCUGAACUGAGCGGUGCAUUCAGCUGGGCUUUUCUUCCCCAGCCAGCAGAGCCCAGCACCCUGGCUCUGAAACAAACAGGGUCUGCGGCCCACUCAUGACGGCCCCUGCUGGCCAAUUCAGAACGGGAAGGAGUGCCCACAGGGAGGGAUGAAUGGCACCAGCCCUACCAACAAAGGGUAUUCCCAAUAGUUAGGGCACAGCCACAGCCCCCUCAGUGACCAAGUCCAAUUAGUGAGGGGGUGGCAAAGAAACCCAGGCACAAAUCACAGCCAUAGCAGCUGGGCAGGACUGGACUCGGGAUUAACUGGCUAGAACCAGAAGGAAGAGAAAGGACCAAGGGGCCUUCCUAAGGUUUAAAGGUGGCAAGACUGCCAGGUGUGAAAAUUAAAAUGCUGAGCAAAGACAAAGGAGCCUACGAGUCAUUGCUGAGCCGCAGGAGGGAACAGGAUCCCGACCUAAGGCACUUGGUCUAGUAAUCAUGUUAUCUCCAUACGGAGAGGCAGCCGGAGGAGAAAGAGAAGUGUAACAGUGCCCCCACCUCCCACGCUUUUUCACUGUUGCAGAACUAGUCCUGACAGAGAAAUGCUUCAGAAAACAGGAUCAUUCCCCUUGGACCUGCUGCACUUGUUUGAACCCAGCUACAGAGCAUUUAGCGUAAGGACUACUGGACACGGGAGAAGUGAGGGACUUCCGGGCACUUUAAAGCUAGCCCCGCUGUGCCGCCGCCUCACCUCUGCUCCAGGUACCGCAGGGCCUGCCUGACCAGCUCCAUGCGCACUUCCACGCUGCUGCGGCUCUUCAGGGCAUCCAUGGCCGGUGCCAGCAGCACGUCUGUCAUUUGCUUUACCAUGGUCCACAGGUCAGAGAUGUUCUGCACGUAAGUAACGGCACGUGACAAUGCUGUGGGGCUGGAGAGAGUGCCUGGCUCUUCCUCGCUCGGACCUGCUCACCGCAGGCAGGCAGGCCACGGAGGGGGCGAGGCUAACGGCUCCUGUCGGAGGCCCCCAGGCUACGCCCAGCACAGAAGAUGCACCUCUGCCCCGCCGCCUGCCAGGCUUUCACCUUCCGACAAGCAGCCUGUCCAAGCUGGCUGCAGAUCAAUGAUGAUCCCAGGCCUGACAGAACCACCCACAUGCUUAAGACCACACAGAACUACAAACAACACUGAAUCUCAGUGGGUUAUCCCUUAAGAGAGAGUGGAUACUUUUAUAAUCAUCCAACGCGCUAGGAGUUUGAACUCAAGUAGCUGCAUUUCGGUCCUUACAAGGUCGUUUCAGUUUGGUAAGGCUUCAAAUGAAAGCUUAACCUAAAUAAUGUUUUGUCCUCCGGAGACUCCCCAGGGCCACUGCUCUUGGCCCAUUUUGGGUAAAAAGCCCCCCCCUUUCCUUCCCACUCAGUCCCUCAGAAGGCGCCUCCCGAGACAGGAGCAGGGACAGGAGCGGCCGUUCUCGCCCUUGUUACCAGCACACAGCUGGGCUCCUCUCCCAGCACCUGCCUGGCUUACAUCUGCCUGGAAAAGUGUUCCCGGAACCUCUGCACUAUUAUAAGUAAGAAUCCUUGGACGAGUAGGGAAAAGCAGGUUAACACUGUUCCAAAGGGAACAAAACCACACCCUACUUUCAUUGUCCUCUCCAAAAUUAAAACUGAAAAAAUCCACCCAAAUGCGACUCUUCCUAGCUGGUGACAUGGUAGGUGAAUUGCGUACUUUCUUCUUUAGAUGUUUGCAGUGCCUUAUAUUUUACUAUUU